AGUGAACGCUGGCGGUAGGCCUAACACAUGCAAGUCGAACGGCAGCACAGUAAGAGCUUGCUCUUACGGGUGGCGAGUGGCGGACGGGUGAGGAAUACAUCGGAAUCUACUUUUUCGUGGGGGAUAACGUAGGGAAACUUACGCUAAUACCGCAUACGACCUACGGGUGAAAGCAGGGGAUCUUCGGACCUUGCGCGAUUGAAUGAGCCGAUGUCGGAUUAGCUAGUUGGCGGGGUAAAGGCCCACCAAGGCGACGAUCCGUAGCUGGUCUGAGAGGAUGAUCAGCCACACUGGAACUGAGACACGGUCCAGACUCCUACGGGAGGCAGCAGUGGGGAAUAUUGGACAAUGGGCGCAAGCCUGAUCCAGCCAUACCGCGUGGGUGAAGAAGGCCUUCGGGUCGUAAAGCCCUUUUGUUGGGAAAGAAAAGCAGCAGGUUAAUACCCCGCUGUUCUGACGGUACCCAAAGAAUAAGCACCCGCUAACUUCGUG
rnacentral:rRNA from 1 species